GCUUCGUUCUCAAAUCAGGCGAGACUACCCGCUGAACUUAAGCAUAUCACUAAGCGGAGGAAAAGAAACUAACCAGGAUUCCCCUAGUAACGGCGAGUGAACCGGGAAGAGCUCAAGCCUAAAAUCUUCGGAAUUGUAGUCUAUAGGUGCGAACUUGUACAUCCCCGGGUAUAAAUCCGUUCUUGGAACUGGGUGCCAGAGAGGGUUAGAGCCCCGUCUUUGACUCGGUAGGAUGUGCGUGAUAAGGUCGCUCCAGAGAGUCGGCUUGCUUGGGAAUGCAGGCCAAAUUGGGUGGUAAACUCCAUCUAAAGCUAAAUAUUGGCGAGAGACCGAUAGCGAACAAGUACUGUGAAGGAAAGAUGGAAAGAACUUUGAAAAGAGAGUGAAAAAGGGCUUGAAAUUGUUGAGAGGAGAAGUGAUUGGAGCCUAUCCUGCGCGGCGGGAUCCUAGGGCUGGAGCUUGCUCCAGCCUGCACCAUGCCGUCGCGCUGGCCAGCAUCGGUUCGCUGUGGGGGACAAGGCUGGGAGGGCGGAAGGGUAAAACCGACUGGCUCUCAGCGCAUGACCCGUGGCGGACCGAGGCACCAAGGGCGCGCCUAGCGGCCGGCCCAUCGUGCACGUUACUCCGUAAUUACACACUCCGGUGUUUGGUUGCUGAGUGGGCGUUGACGCGGUGGAGCGCUGGACCUGCGCCCUGAAGAUGCUGGCACAAUGGCUUCAACCAGCCCGUCUUGAAAACGGACCAAGGAGUCUAACACGUAUGCAAGUAGUAAGGUGGCAAACCUUGGAUGCGAAAUGAAAGUGAACGUAGGUGGGAUCCCUUUGGGUGCACCAUCGACCGACCAGGAUCUACUGUGAAGGUUUGAGUAAGAGCAUAUUUGUUGGGACCCGAAAGAUGGUGAACUAUGCCUGAAUAGGGUGAAGCCAGAGGAAACUCUGGUGGAGGCUCGUAGCGGUACUGACGUGCAAAUCGUUCGUCAAAUUUGGGUAUAGGGGCGAAAGACUAAUCGAACCAUCUAGUAGCUGGUUCCCUCCGAAGUUUCCCUCAGGAUAGCUGGAGCUCGCACAAGUUU
rnacentral:rRNA from 1 species